UAGGGAAUCUUCGGCAAUGGGGGGAACCCUGACCGAGCAACGCCGCGUGAGUGAAGAAGGUUUUCGGAUCGUAAAGCUCUGUUGUUAAGGAAGAACGAGUGUGAGAAUGGAAAGUUCAUGCUGUGACGGUACUUAACCAGAAAGGGACGGCUAACUACGUGCCAGCAGCCGCGGUAAUACGUAGGUCCCGAGCGUUGUCCGGAUUUAUUGGGCGUAAAGCGAGCGCAGGCGGUUAGAAAAGUCUGAAGUGAAAGGCAGUGGCUCAACCAUUGUAGGCUUUGGAAGCUGUUUAACUUGAGUGCGGAAGGGGAGAGUGGAAUUCCAUGUGUGGCGGUGAAAUGCGUGGAUAGAUGGAGGAACGCCGGUGGCGAAAGCGGCUCUCUGGUCUGUAACUGACGCUGAGGCUGGAAAGCGUGGGGAGCGAACAGG
rnacentral:rRNA from 1 species